rnacentral:lncRNA from 1 species
UCGUAUGGUCACGCUCAGUACUAGUUGUUCUCUAACAACCAUCUGCACUCGUCACUCUGUGUCUCUACACAGUAGAUCAGAGACUCAUCUAUCCCAAAAAAAAUGAUUUAUGUAUCAGUCUAUCUGGAUCUAUCAUCAUCUUCAUGAUGAUCCUAUAAUCGAGAGUAUUUAGGAAUUAAAUACAUGUCUCUAAUUCUCAACACUUUAGAAAUAUGUAUCGAAACUAAUUUCAUAGAUGAUUCAAGA